rnacentral:rRNA from 1 species
GAUGAACGCUGGCGGCGUGCUUAACACAUGCAAGUCGAACGGAAAGGCUCCUGCUUGCAGGGGUACUCGAGUGGCGAACGGGUGAGUAACACGUGGGUGAUCUGCCCUGCACUUCGGGAUAAGCCUGGGAAACUGGGUCUAAUACCGGAUAGGACGAUGGUUUGGAUGCCAUUGUGGAAAGUUUUUCGGUGUGGGAUGAGCUCGCGGCCUAUCAGCUUGUUGGUGGGGUAAUGGCCUACCAAGGCGUCGACGGGUAGCCGGCCUGAGAGGGUGUACGGCCACAUUGGGAAUGAGAUACGGCCCAGACUCCUACGGGAGGCAGCAGUGGGGAAUAUUGCACAAUGGGCGCAAGCCUGAUGCAGCGACGCCGCGUGGGGGAUGACGGCCUUCGGGUUGUAAACUCCUUUCGCUAGGGACGAAGCGCAAGUGACGGUACCUGGAGAAGAAGCACCGGCUAACUACGUG